UGACGGAGUUUUCGGACGCGCGUCCAAAAGUCACUCGUAAUUUGCAUCAUCUUGUGUUGUUUCUUAUUUUGGAAUUUGAAAAAAAAGGAAAACAACGGCAUGAUAUUCUGAAAAAGUCAAGGAAGGAAUAGGACUCAGAUUCAUUUCGUUUUGGCUUCAAGAAAAUGACAUUUUAGAUAUAUCUCUGUACAAACGUUUCUCUCAUUUAGAAAUGGGGAUCGCACAGAACAUAGUUCUGCACUUCGUAUUUCUUCUCUCAAUGCAAUCUGCCGUCCACUGCGGAUUUUCCGUCCGAUGUGCAAGUGACGCCUCUCGCUGUAUGAACAAUGGGAAGUGCAUUCAUGUCGCAGAUAGCUCCACUAUGCUCGGCUGCCCAUCCGGGUAUCUCAGGGGAGGUGACUGGUGUUUCAAUGUACACGAUAACCAACUCAAGACAUCAACAGCUGCCUGGGGACCCUGCAUUGGACCAGGAGGCGCGCUCUUGUCGCUGACAUCG